rnacentral:rRNA from 1 species
AGUGAACGCUAGCGGUAGGCCUAACACAUGCAAGUCGAACGGCAGCACAGUAAGAGCUUGCUCUUACGGGUGGCGAGUGGCGGACGGGUGAGGAAUACAUCGGAAUCUACUUUUUCGUGGGGGAUAACGUAGGGAAACUUACGCUAAUACCGCAUACGACCUACGGGUGAAAGCAGGGGUUCUUCGGACCUUGCGCGAUUGAAUGAGCCGAUGUCGGAUUAGCUAGUUGGCGGGGUAAAGGCCCACCAAGGCGACGAUCCGUAGCUGGUCUGAGAGGAUGAUCAGCCACACUGGAACUGAGACACGGUCCAGACUCCUACGGGAGGCAGCAGUGGGGAAUAUUGGACAAUGGGCGCAAGCCUGAUCCAGCCAUACCGCGUGGGUGAAGAAGGCCUUCGGGUUGUAAAGCCCUUUUGUUGGGAAAGAAAAGCAGCAGGUUAAUACCCCGCUGUUCUGACGGUACCCAAAGAAUAAGCACCGGCUAACUUCGUG